GACGGAGGAUGCAAGCGUUAUCCGGAUUCAUUGGGUUUAAAGGGUGCGUAGGCGGACUAUUAAGUCAGUGGUGAAAGCCUGCAGCUUAACUGCAGAACUGCCAUUGAUACUGAUAGUCUUGAGUUUGGUUAAGGUAGGCGGAAUGUGUAAUGUAGCGGUGAAAUGCUUAGAUAUUACACAGAACACCAAUUGCGUAGGCAGCUUACUGAGCCGACACUGACGCUGAGGCACGAAAGCGUGGGGAUCGAACA
rnacentral:rRNA from 1 species